rnacentral:rRNA from 1 species
UACGUAGGGGGCAAGCGUUGUCCGGAUUUAUUGGGCGUAAAGAGCUCGUAGGCGGUUCCGUAAGUCGUGAAGUCAAAUCUCUGGGCUCAACCCAGAAUCGCUUCCGAUACUGCGGUGACUGGAGUCCGGUAGGGGAGUGUGGAAUUCCGUGGUGUAGCGGUGAAAUGCGCAGAUAUCAGGAGGAACACCAACAGCGAAGGCAGCACUCUGGGCCGGUACUGACGCUGAGGAGCGAAGCAUGGGAGCGAACAGG